rnacentral:rRNA from 1 species
GAACGAGACCUUCGGGUCUAGUGGCGCACGGGUGCGUAACGCGUGGGAAUCUGCCCUUGGGUUCGGAAUAACAGUGAGAAAUUACUGCUAAUACCGGAUGAUGACGUAAGUCCAAAGAUUUAUCGCCCAAGGAUGAGCCCGCGUAAGAUUAGCUAGUUGGUGGGGUAAAGGCCUACCAAGGCGACGAUCUUUAGCUGGUCUGAGAGGAUGAUCAGCCACACUGGGACUGAGACACGGCCCAGACUCCUACGGGAGGCAGCAGUGGGGAAUAUUGGACAAUGGGCGAAAGCCUGAUCCAGCAAUGCCGCGUGAGUGAUGAAGGCCUUAGGGUUGUAAAGCUCUUUUACCAGGGAUGAUAAUGACAGUACCUGGAGAAUAAGCUCCGGCUAACUCCGUGCCAGCAGCCGCGGUAAUACGGAGGGAGCUAGCGUUGUUCGGAAUUACUGGGCGUAAAGCGUGCGUAGGCGGUGACUCAAGUCAGAGGUGAAAGCCUGGAGCUCAACUCCAGAACUGCCUUUGAAACUAGGUCGCUAGAAUCUGGGAGAGGUGAGUGGAAUUCCGAGUGUAGAGGUGAAAUUCGUAGAUAUUCGGAAGAACACCAGUGGCGAAGGCGGCUCACUGGACCAGAAUUGACGCUGAGGCACGAAAGCGUGGGGAGCAAACA